GAUCUUUUUUUCACUUCUCUCUCAACAUAUUGCAUCCUUCCCCACUAGAAAGGAAAAUUUCAAUUCAACAAACUUUUAUUCUCUAUUAGCUACUGCUGGGUCCUUUGCCUUUUGAAGAUAAGGAUGCUUUUUUCUUAAGGAUUUCUGUCCCCAGCACCUAGCACCUAGUAUUUCACCUCUUUUUCUUCAGAAUCAUAGCUCAAACCCGAUAAUCAAAAUUCUAUGCCUGUAAUCUCUGCUACUAUAGGUGAGACUGAGGCCAGCAGAUCUCUUGAGCACCAGAUUUCUAUGUUGCAGUGGGCUAAGCUAAUUGGGUAUCCACAUCGUGUUUGACACUAAUAUGGUGAGCUUCUUGGAGUGAAAGCUCACCAAGCUGCCUAAAGAUGGGAGAAUUGAAUUUUCUUUCUUCCCUUCUCUGAUUUUUUAUUUUCUUUUCACCUUUCCUUUCUCCUUCCCCUUUCUUUUUCUCUUCCCCUCAUUUCUUCUCCUUACUAUUUCUCUCCCCCCUUCAACUUCAAACAAUUCUUCAUUUCUUUCAUUUCCUCUCUCACUUCUGCCUCUAGGAGAUCCCAGUUUCCUUCCCUCUCAAGCACCAAGACAUCAGUGUACAUGCCCUAGAUUACGUAGGUACAAUUUUAAAUAACAACUUUCUGACAUUUUUCAAUCUGUGUUCUCCUCCAUCCCUGCUCUUUCCCCAAGAUGGUA
rnacentral:lncRNA from 1 species